AUUGCUUGCAAAGAAGAAUUCAAUUCGCUUAUCAUGAAGUUUAUGACAUGUGUCGUUAUCCUUGCUAUGCUAUUUUGCUUGAUGAAAGAGGCAGAUGCAAAGAAGAAGAAAUGGUGCGUUUGCUACAAUGGACUUUGCUACUGCAAUAAGCGUUCUCUGGAUAUGUUGAAGGAAGAUGGAAAUGACCUUGUGGAAAAAAUGACAGAGGCGGACUUCGCUAAGAGAUUAUUGAGAGCUGGGAUGAAGUAAUUUGAAAUCAGAAGUGACUGAAAGACGUUUAAUCGAAACAAAAGAAGAAGUGGAAAAACAUUGGUGUCUUGAAAAUUAAUAAAUCUUAACUGAUUGCAUUUUA